ACGGAAGGCAGCAGUGGGGAAUAUUGGGCAAUGGGCGAAAGCCUGACCCAGCGACGCCGCGUGAGGGAAGAAGGUCUUCGGAUUGUAAACCUCUUUCAGCAGGGAAGAAGCAAGUGACGGUACCUGCAGAGGAAGUCACAGCUAACUACGUGCCAGCAGCCGCGGUAAUACGUAGGUGGCGAGCGUUAUCCGGAAUUACUGGGUGUAAAGGGUGUGUAGGCGGAGAAGCAAGUCAGGCGUGAAAUUUCCGGGCUCAACCCGGAAACUGCGCUUGAAACUGUUUCCCUUGAGAGUGGGAGAGGUAAACGGAAUUCCUGGUGUAGUAGUGAAAUGCGUAGAUAUCAGGAGGAACACCGGUGGCGAAGGCGGUUUACUGGACCACAACUGACGCUGAGACACGAAAGCGUGGGGAGCAAACAGGAUUAGAUACCCUGGUA
rnacentral:rRNA from 1 species